rnacentral:rRNA from 1 species
UACAUGGGGUGCAAACGUUGCUCGGAAUUAUUGGGCGUAAAGCGCACGUAGGCGGUUCGUUAAGUCGGAUGUGAAAGCCCUCGGCUCAACUGAGGAAGUGCACCCGAAACUGGCGAGCUUGAGUACGAAAGAGGAUCGCGGAAUUCCCGGUGUAGAGGUGAAAUUCGUAGAUAUUCGCAAGAACACCAGUGGCGAAGGCGGCUCACUGGCCCGGUACUGACGCUGAGGCACGAAAGCGUGGGGAGCAAACAGG